CAAGGUUUGAAAUAAGCAACCUCCGUAGAUCAAUAAUAUAAAUAAAAAAAGAGGAUCAAAAAACUUGAGGGAACUAAAAAAUGCCCAUGAACAAGUUUGAUCAACUCUUAUAAAAGAAUGAAAAAUAAAAGAAUAUUACUAGACAGAAAAAUUCAUUUUUUUUGGGAAAACAAAGAUGGAUCUCGUUUUCUUGAAAACAAUUUUUUUUUUUUUUUUGUUACAAAAGUUUGUCGUUUAGAUGAGUUUGGACAAAAUAUAAACUCAUAAAGCAACACUUCAUAAGAAAAUCGUGAUUUGUGUUUUGUUUUUCAAGAAAGACUAAGACAAGACCAAGGAAGAGUUUUGUGUUUUGUUUGUUUGGUUUGGUUUGGUUUGAAGAUGAAACGAAGCAAAGAAAACAAGAAGAAGAGAGAUAUGAACCCUAGUUUUUUUUCACUCAAAUCUUUUUUUUUUUUGCUUCUCUCUCACUCACAACACUCACUCUCUCUCACACACACACUACUCUCUCUCUCUCUCUCUCUUUUGGAAGAUGCUCU
rnacentral:lncRNA from 1 species